rnacentral:rRNA from 1 species
UACGGGGGGGGCAAGCGUUGUUCGGAAUUACUGGGCGUAAAGGGCCAGUAGGCGGCCAACUAAGUCAUACGUGAAAUCCCUCAGCUUAACUGGGGAACUGCGUGUGAUACUGGAUGGCUUGGAUUUGGGAGAGGGAUGCGGAAUUCCAGGUGUAGCGGUGAAAUGCGUAGAUAUCUGGAGGAACACCGGUGGCGAAGGCGGCAUCCUGGACCAAUAUUGACGCUGAGGAGCGAAAGCCAGGGGAGCAAACGGG